rfam:Treponema berlinense strain ATCC BAA-909 genome assembly, contig: EI67DRAFT_scaffold00004.4
GCCGGUGGCCACAGUGGAGAGGCAAUACCCGUUCCCAUUCCGAACACGGAAGUCAAGCUCUCUUACGCCGAUGAUACUGCUCUUCGCGGGAAAGUAGGUAGCUGCCGGCU